rnacentral:tRNA from 1 species
UGGUGUAGUUGGUUAACGCACCCUGUCUAGCAAAUAGGGAAGUCGUGGGUUCAAAUCCCAC